rnacentral:rRNA from 1 species
CCUGAACAACGUACCAGCAGCGGGGAGUAUUCGGAUUGGGGAAGCGUUGGCCGGAAUUAAUUGUCGGAAAGCGCGGUCAGGCAGUCCAGUAAGUCUUAGGUGAAAGCCCACGGCUCAAACGGGGAGGGUCAUUGGAAACUGGGGGACUAGAGUGCAGAAGAGGAAAGCGGAAUUCCAUGUGUAGCGGUGAAAUGCGUAGAGAUGUGGAGGAACACCAGUGGCGAAGGCGGCUUUCUGGUCUGUAACUGACGCUGAGGCGCGAAAGCGUGGGGAGCAAACAGGAUUAGAUACCUUAGUAGUC